AGGGCACAUGAAGGAUGCCUUGGCUCUCGGAGGCGAAGAAGGACGUGACAAGCUGCGAUAAGCCGCGCUCAGGGGCAAAUACCCGUUCAGGCGCGGAUUUCCGAAUGGGGCAACCCACGGCGUGCAGACGCCGUAUCUUGCAAAGCAAGAGGCAAACCCGGGGAACUGAAACAUCUCAGUACCCGGAGGAAAAGAAAACAAAAGUGAUUGCGCCAGUAGUGGCGAGCGAACGCGCAAGAGCCCAAACCGGCCCUGUUACGGCAGAGCCGGGGUUGUAGGACCGCCAACAAAGCGACAACGGAAGGUCAGGGGAACGCCGUGGAAACGGCGGCCGCAGCGGGUGAAAGCCCCGUACCCGAAGACCCGAAGACACGCGAGGCGGCACCUGAGUAGUGCGGAACACGAGAAAUUCUGCAUGAAUCUGCGGGGACCAUCCCGUAAGGCUAAAUACUACCGAGAGACCGAUAGCGAACCAGUACCGUGAGGGAAAGGUGAAAAGAACCUCGAACAGAGGAGUGAAACAGACCCUGAAAUCAUGUGCCUACAAGCGGUCGGAGCCCUUUAGUGGGGUGACGGCGUGCCUUUUGCAUAAUGAACCUACGAGUUGCCCGUCCCGGCAAGGUUAAGGAUAAGGAAAUCCGGAGCCGAAGCGAAAGCGAGUCAGAAUAUGGCGCCACUAGUCAGGGCGGGCAGACGCGAAACCAAGUGAUCUACCCAUGGGCAGGUUGAAGGACAGGUAACACUGUCUGGAGGACCGCACCGGUAAGCGUUGAAAAGCUUUCGGAUGACCUGUGGGUAGGAGUGAAAGGCCAAUCAAACUUGGAGAUAGCUCGUACUCCCCGAAAUGCAUUUAGGUGCAGCCUCGGGCGCAGUACCGUGGAGGUAGAGCGACUGAUAGGAUGCGAGGGCUUCACCGCCUAUCAAGUCCUGACAAACUCCGAAUGCCACGGCACGAUCCCCGGGAGUGAGGGCGCGGGUGCUAAGGUCCGCGUCCGAAAGAGGAACAACUCAGACCACCGGCCAAGGCCCCCAAAUGCGGGCUAAGUUGAAGACCAUAACGAGGUGGGAUUGCCUUGACAGCUAGGAUGUUGGCUUGGAAGCAGCCAUUCAUUUAAAGAGUGCGUAACAGCUCACUAGUCGAGUGAUCCCGCAUGGAUAAUAAUCGGGCAUAAGUCCGCUGCCGAAGCCGUGGAAUCGUCAUUAGAUGAUGAUUGGUAGGGGAGCAUUCCGCAAGCCGUUGAAGGUCGUUCGUAAGGACGGCUGGAGGUACCGGAAAAGCAAAUGUAGGUAUAAGUAACGAUAAGGAGGGCGAGAAACCCUCCCGCCGCAAGACCAAGGGUUCCUGAUCAACGCUAAUCGGAUCAGGGUAAGUCGGGACCUAAGGAGUCAGCCGCAAGGCGCAUCCGAUGGACAAACGGUAAACAUUCCGUUACCCUUAACAACAGCGACGUGGCGACGGAGAAGUGACACAUCCGCGCACUGACGGAAUAGUGCGUUAAAGCGCGUAGGUAAAUCUCGGGCAGGCAAAUCCACCCGAGAUGCUGAAACGCGACAGUACGCCGAGCCCUCCGGGGCGAGGUGACAGCGAUGGUAAUCAGGCUUCCGAGAAAACCCGCUAAGCAUAUGUUGUGAAGGCCCGUACCGUAAACGGACACACGUGGUCGGGUAGAAUAUACUGAGGCGCUCGAGAGAUUCACGGUUAAGGAACUAGGCAAAUUGACCCCGUAACUUCGGAAUAAGGGGUCCCUGCUAUACGGCAGGGCGCAGAGAAUAGGUCCAGGCAACUGUUUAACAAAAACACAGGGCUGUGCGAAAUUUAAAGAUGAAGUAUACAGCCUGACACCUGCCCGGUGCCGGAAGGUUAAGAGGAGAUGUCAUCGCAAGAGAAGCAUUGAAUUGAAGCCCCGGUAAACGGCGGCCGUAACUAUAACGGUCCUAAGGUAGCGAAAUUCCUUGUCAGGUAAGUUCUGACCCGCACGAAAGGCGUAACGAUUUGGGCGCUGUCUCAGCUGUAGACUCGGUGAAGUCUUAGUACCUGUGAAGAUGCAGGUUACCCGCGACUAGACGGAAAGACCCCAUGGAGCUUCACUGCAGGUUGAUAUUGGGAUUUGAUGCAGCAUGUACAGGAUAGGUAGGAGGCAAAGAGAUGGAUACGCCAGUAUUCAAGGAGCCGCUGUUGGGAUACUACCCCUGUUGUAUUGGAUUUCUAACCGGACGACGUAGAGCCGUUGACGGGACAGUGUCAGUCGGGCAGUUUGACUGGGGCGGUCGCCUCCCAAAGAGUAACGGAGGCGCCCAAAGGUUCCCUCAGAAUGGUUGGAAAUCAUUCAUAGAGUGUAAAGGCAGAAGGGAGCUUGACUGCGAGACGGACAGGUCGAGCAGGAACGAAAGUUGGGCUUAGUGAACCGGCUGUGCUGAAUGGAAAGGCAGUCGAUCAACGGACAAAAGCUACCCUGGGGAUAACAGGCUGAUCUCCCCCAAGAGUUCACAUCGACGGGGAGGUUUGGCACCUCGAUGUCGGCUCAUCGCAUCCUGGAGCUGUAGCAGGUUCCAAGGGUUGGGCUGUUCGCCCAUUAAAGCGGUACGCGAGCUGGGUUCAGAACGU
rnacentral:rRNA from 1 species